GAUGAACGCUGGCGGCGUGCCUAAUACAUGCAAGUCGAGCGAACGGACGAGAAGCUUGCUUCUCUGAUGUUAGCGGCGGACGGGUGAGUAACACGUGGAUAACCUACCUAUAAGACUGGGAUAACUUCGGGAAACCGGAGCUAAUACCGGAUAAUAUUUUGAACCGCAUGGUUCAAAAGUGAAAGACGGUCUUGCUGUCACUUAUAGAUGGAUCCGCGCUGCAUUAGCUAGUUGGUAAGGUAACGGCUUACCAAGGCAACGAUGCAUAGCCGACCUGAGAGGGUGAUCGGCCACACUGGAACUGAGACACGGUCCAGACUCCUACGAGAGGCAGCAGUAGGGAAUCUUCCGCAAUGGGCGAAAGCCUGACGGAGCAACGCCGCGUGAGUGAUGAAGGUCUUCGGAUCGUAAAACUCUGUUAUUAGGGAAGAACAUAUAUGUAAGUAACUGUGCACAUCUUGACGGUACCUAAUCAGAAAGCCACGGCUAACUACGUGCCAGCAGCCGCGGUAAUACGUAGGUGGCAAGCGUUAUCCGGAAUUAUUGGGCGUAAAGCGCGCGUAGGCGGUUUUUUAAGUCUGAUGUGAAUGCCCACGGCUCAACCGUGGAGGGUCAUUGGAAACUGGAAAACUUGAGUGCAGAAGAGGAAAGUGGAAUUCCAUGUGUAGCGGUGAAAUGCGCAGAGAUAUGGAGGAACACCAGUGGCGAAGGCGACUUUCUGGUCUGUAACUGACGCUGAUGUGCGAAAGCGUGGGGAUCAAACAGGAUUAGAUACCCUGGUAGUCCACGCCGUAAACGAUGAGUGCUAAGUGUUAGGGGGUUUCCGCCCCUUAGUGCUGCAGCUAACGCAUUAAGCACUCCGCCUGGGGAGUACGACCGCAAGGUUGAAACUCAAAGGAAUUGACGGGGACCCGCACAAGCGGUGGAGCAUGUGGUUUAAUUCGAAGCAACGCGAAGAACCUUACCAAAUCUUGACAUCCUUUGACAACUCUAGAGAUAGAGCUUUCCCCUUCGGGGGACAAAGUGACAGGUGGUGCAUGGUUGUCGUCAGCUCGUGUCGUGAGAUGUUGGGUUAAGUCCCGCAACGAGCGCAACCCUUAAGCUUAGUUGCCAUCAUUAAGUUGGGCACUCUAAGUUGACUGCCGGUGACAAACCGGAGGAAGGUGGGGAUGACGUCAAAUCAUCAUGCCCCUUAUGAUUUGGGCUACACACGUGCUACAAUGGACAAUACAAAGGGCAGCGAAACCGCGAGGUCAAGCAAAUCCCAUAAAGUUGUUCUCAGUUCGGAUUGUAGUCUGCAACUCGACUACAUGAAGCUGGAAUCGCUAGUAAUCGUAGAUCAGCAUGCUACGGUGAAUACGUUCCCGGGUCU
rnacentral:rRNA from 1 species